UGUAAUAUUGAAACGGUGUUUGUGUUGC
rnacentral:sRNA from 1 species